ACCAGGCUAAUUGGCUGUGAGGACCUGCUGUGUCUAUAACGGAAGAAUUGCUGUGCUGGAGACACAGUAGGGCUUUGGUGCUCACUGAGUCUGCCUC